GUCACAGCCUUUACUGCUUGGGUUUGAUGCAGAUUUUUACACCAGGCACUGCAGAAUUGAGGUGGCCUCUCGAAUAUUUGCAUUGCUUGGACAUCCCAAGACAGCUGAGACUGAAGCAAUUCUUCCAGAUGAGGAUGUUGCUUUGGACAGGCACUGCCUCCACCUGCCUGAAUAUGAACCAUCACUUAUUGCUCUCAAUCUGCCUGGUGUAAAUCAAGAAGCCAGGUGUGUUGUACAUCUGCUUCUGUGACAGUUCCUCCCCUUCAUUCUGGCAGCCGUUGACCCCCAAAGGCCAUGGCCAGAGCACUGAGGUAUACUGAAGUGUGAGAUGGUUCAGAUGGACCUUCCUAAGCCCCCAAAGGAGACAGCCCUGCUGAAGGUUGCCAGUCUGUAACUCGAAACUGCUCAGCUGCUGUGACCAUCUUGUCAAAGCUGCCCCCCAAAGUCCGUGUGCCACCAAAGCCCCACCAGCCACUUCUAUGCUCUCACAUCCUGCUGGGUUCCUAACUCGUGACAGUGGAGAAGACAGUCCUAGGUGGGUAGUCAGGUAGACUCCUAUGGUAUUAGCAAUGUUAUAUGCUGUCCUGAAGAUCAGUUGCAUGUUUGAUACACCCCAGAUGUGGUUUGUCCUCCUGGCUGAGGGCACACUGCUGACUCCUGCUGAGCCUGGUGUUGACCAGCAUCCCCAGAUCCCACCUCUGCAGGGAUGCUGCCCAGACUUUCCUCUCCCCAUUUAUAUUUGGGCCCAGCACUGCUCCACCCAAGGUGCAGAAUCUAUCAGUUGGACAUGUCAGAUUUCAUCUCAUCGAUCAGAGCCCAAUAUUCCAAUCUAUAGAGACCCCUCUCCAAGGGAUCUUCUCUCUCAAGAGGGUCAAGCAUCUCCCCAGUUUGGCACCAUCAGUAAAACUGCUGAAGAUGCAUUCAAUUUCUGCAUCCAGAUCACUGAUAAAUACACUGAUCAGGACUGUCCCGAGAACUGAGCCCUGUGGAACAGCCCUGUGGAACACUGCCAGCCAGAUGUGGCUCAAUGCACUACAACCUUCUAAGCCCUGCCCUUAAGACAGUUCUUUACCCAGUACACUGGGAACCCGCUCAUCUCACAGCCAUUCAACUCGACCCUGCUGUGAGGGGCAGUAUGAAAAGGCUCCCUAAAAUUCAGAACAACUAUACCCACCACCUUCCCUCAGUCCACUAGGUGGGUGGUCUUAACAUACCAAGAUAGCAAAUUAGUUAAAUGGGAUUUACCUUUGUGGCUGACUAUGCUUGAUGCCUGCAUUACUCUUUAAAUGACUUUCAGUAGUACCCAGUAUUAACUUCUUCGGCAUUUUUUCCAGCCCUUCUGUGAGGGCUAACGGUAUCAGUUACAAAACCUACAACUUCUAAGCUGUGCUUCGAUGCG